UCGAGAAUUUUUCUCAAUGGGCGAAAGCCUGAAGGAGCGACGCCGCGUGGGGGAUGAAGGGUUUCGAUCCGUAAACCCCUGUCAUUUGUGAACAAUGGUGAUGGUUUAAGAGAUGAUCACUUGAUAGUAAUGAAAGAGGAAGGGACGGCUAACUCUGUGCCAGCAGCCGCGGUAAUACAGAGGUCCCAAGCGUUGUUCGGAUUCACUGGGCGUAAAGGGUGCGUAGGUGGCAUGAUAAGUUUGAUGUGAAAUCUCCGGGCUUAACCCGGAAAAGGCAUUGAAUACUAUCAGGCUGGAGGUUUGGAGGGGGGACUGGAAUUCUCGGUGUAGCAGUGAAAUGCGUAGAUAUCGAGAGGAACACCAGUGGCGAAGGCGAGUCCCUGGACAACACCUGACACUGAGGCACGAAAGCUAGGGGAGCAAACAG
rnacentral:rRNA from 1 species